UUCCUACGGGAGGCAGCAGUGAGGAAUAUUGGUCAAUGGCCGGAAGGCUGAACCAGCCAAGUCGCGUGAGGGAAUAAGGCCCUAUGGGUCGUAAACCUCUUUUGUCAGGGAGCAAAGGCGUCCACGUGUGGACGAGAGGAGAGUACCUGAAGAAAAAGCAUCGGCUAACUCCGUGCCAGCAGCCGCGGUAAUACGGAGGAUGCGAGCGUUAUCCGGAUUUAUUGGGUUUAAAGGGUGCGUAGGCGGAAGGUUAAGUCAGCGGUCAAAUGUCGGUGCUCAACACCGGCCUGCCGUUGAAACUGGUC
rnacentral:rRNA from 1 species